GAUGAACGCUGGCGGCGUGCCUAAUACAUGCAAGUCGAGCGAACAGACGAGGAGCUUGCUCCUCUGACGUUAGCGGCGGACGGGUGAGUAACACGUGGAUAACCUACCUAUAAGACUGGGAUAACUUCGGGAAACCGGAGCUAAUACCGGAUAAUAUAUUGAACCGCAUGGUUCAAUAGUGAAAGACGGUUUUGCUGUCACUUAUAGAUGGAUCCGCGCCGCAUUAGCUAGUUGGUAAGGUAACGGCUUACCAAGGCGACGAUGCGUAGCCGACCUGAGAGGGUGGUCGGCCACACUGGAACUGAGACACGGUCCAGACUCCUACGGGAGGCAGCAGUAGGGAAUCUUCCGCAAUGGGCGAAAGCUUGACGGAGCAACGCCGCGUGAGUGAUGAAGGUCUUCGGAUCGUAAAACUCUGUUAUUAGGGAAGAACAAAUGUGUAAGUAACUAUGCACGUCUUGACGGUACCUAAUCAGAAAGCCACGGCUAACUACGUG
rnacentral:rRNA from 1 species